UACGUAGGGUGCGAGCGUUGUCCGGAUUUAUUGGGCGUAAAGAGCUCGUGAGGCGGUUUGUCGCGUCGGCCGUGAAAUCUCCAACGGCUUAACGCUGGAGCGUGCGGGUCGGAUACGGGCAGACUUGAGUUCGGUAGGGGAGACUGGAAUUCCUGGUGUAGCGGUGAAAUGCGCAGAUAUCAGGAGGAACACCACGGCGAAGGCAGCUCGCUAGGACGGUACUGACGCUGAGGCGCGAAAGCGUGGGAGCAAACAGG
rnacentral:rRNA from 1 species